rnacentral:rRNA from 1 species
ACACGUAUGAAAGACAAGCUGAAAGACUUUUCUCAAUGAUGUAAGUGGUGGUGCAUGGUCGUUCUUAGUUCGUGGAUUGAUUUGUCUGGUCUAUUCCGAUAACGAGCGAGACCCCAACGUUCCUAAUAGGGGCUUCAGCCCGGCUUGCCUGCUUCGGCGGGCUUGCUAGCACGUAGCCUAACUAGCUUCUUAGACGUAUCAGAGCCGAUAAGGUUCUUGAAAUGGGUUAAUAACAGGUCAGUCAUGCCCUUAGAUGUUCUGGGCCGCACGCGCGUUACAAUGGUAUACAUUAGAACGUGCUCUUAAUGGGCGUCUCCGCAGCCGACGGGUUGCGGUAACCCCUAAUCUCUCCCUUGACUGGGACAGACUAUUGCAAUUAUUGGUCUCCAACGAGGAAUUUUUAGUAGGCACAGGUCAUUAACCUGUGCCG